GGAACCUGGAAUUCAAGCUGUGGGUGAGAAGCUCUCUAGCAGGGACUCUGACCUUAUGGAGGAUCGCUGUUUCCCCCAUUUUUCCUUUUCACCCAAAAAAGUCCUGCUUCUCUCACCCUUCAAACAGCCUGUGAGCCUAAAUUUUUGUGGCCAUGGGACAGACAAGGACCCCGUCUUCAGCUGAACUAAGGAAAAGUCCUGCGACAUCUUUGGUACGCACUGUGGAGGCUCUACAAACAGUGAGUGAAAUGCAUGCCAAUAAUUCUUUCCCUUCCCUCUCUCUCCUGAGCCCUCUCAUCCUCCGGCUUCUGAGGGUAGAGGAAACCAUGCCACCACCCCCUAUUACUCCUAGGGUUAGGGGCCUUUUCACAGCCUUUUCUCCCUUUUUUGGAAGGAACGGGUGAGCAGCGGCUCCCCACCGCCCUCCCUUCCCUGCCGGGGCUGGGAUACCUGGCUCAAGGCGUCAUGAGUGGCUGGCGUUUUCUGCCACGCACUCAUGGGAUCUCCUCCUCCCUGCACCGGGGAGGCCAGCUCUGACCCACAGCAAUUAAACUUGUCUCCCUGGUGGAGGAACCACUUGGGUAAGAGUAAGAGGUUCUUCCCCAGGCAUUUUUAAACCCCUUUUUUUUUCUCCUCUUCACACCCAGUCAGCAGUGAACUUAGUCUCUGUAAAGCUUCAAUUGUGGAAAAGGAUUUGUAGGGCUAGUCUUGGGCCGUGGCCAAUCCUGGUGUGCUUUGCAUGUCUGUAUGGUGUGUGCUGCAAGCCUCCAUCUUGUUUUACAUCCUGGGGGCGUGACCAGUAACUGCUUGGCAAGGUUUGUUGAGCAAUCCUGCCUCAGAGGAUGAGCCCUCUCUGGUUUGAUAUCUGCAUGUUUUCCUAGCCCUGUCUCUUAAAGGGCCUCACCCAGCAACUGGAUUUUCUAAUGCCUGUGUGUGUGUGUGUAUACUGUGUGUGCUGUCUUUAAAAAGAUCUCUAAUUAAUUUGUCCUAAAGAAGACAAGCACUUGGAUCAAGUAUUUUUUAAGGGAAGUUAAAAGCUGUGGUACCUUUCAGUUCGCAUGACUUUAAUCUUUGAGAAAUCAAAACAGCCCCUAAAGAUUAUUGGUAAAAUGUAGGUAAGAUGCAAGGUUUGCUAAGUGUUUCAAGGUUACAAACUGCUUUUUGGGUUUUGAAAACUGUCUGUCUCCUCUGCUUCACGGCUGGUAGGGCCUGGGGACAUAUGGAACUAAUCACCUCCUUAACUAAGAAGGCAAACCUUGGCUACAGUUAGCACACAAUUAAAACAAUUUACCAGGUUUUAAAUUAUUGUUAAAAAUUACUAGGAGUUACCAUUAUAACAUGUAAUUGAGACUACUGGAAAUAGAUUUGCAUGCAAGGAGUGUAAGAACAGUGAAGUAUGUUUUUUAGUAAAAGGUUAUAAGAAGGCAUGAAAAUGUAAAUUUUUGCCUAGGGUUAAAGGAUUGUUUUGAAUUAAAUUAUUAAAAAGCUGAGGGUUCAAAGAAGUGAUGGAAGAAUUGUGAAAAUUAACCUUGCCGAAGAGGUUCUCUGUGUGAACAUAUUGACUAAAUUCAAAAAACCGUAUUAUAUGGUUUUUCUGUAAAUUGAGCAUUGAAAUAAAAGCCUAACAAAGGUUUCCUAUGGCAUUAGCUGCUCUUUGGCAAAAUCUGUAAAGGGUUAUAAAAGGUUUUUGCUUCUUUACGUUUUCUGAGUCAUCAUUUUUGCAAAACAAAUAAUUUGUGGUAAUCUGGAAUUCUGUUUCAUAAUAUCAAGUGUUUUAAACCUUGAACAUUUAACAGCCUUCCCAAAAUCAAACUUGAGCUUCAAAAUUGUCUUCCCCGGCACCUGGCUUUUUGAGUAGUUUGACAGGGCCCCUGAAGUGUCCAGAGAAGAGAGGUAAACAGAAUUAUUUGACAUGUUUAGGUACAUGGGAUUGCCAAAAUGAUGUUCAGUCUUCUUUAGGUUAUAUCUUGGUAAAUAAUGCUAAUAUAUGUUCCAACAUUGUAUGAGAUUUCUAAAAUUCUAAUGUCUAAGUAUAUGCUACCAAUCAUAAUUAAGGUUAAGUUAUUGCAAACCACAGAGAUACCCAAACAUUUUUGUCAGUUGUGUUUCUAACUGUCACUACCCUGGGCAUUUUGCUAUUCACAGACAAUUGUUGUCUUGCUUUAAUCCUUUUCAAAAGAUGGUUUAUAAUAAGCUAUAGAACUUUAGGUGGUGCUCUCAAAUACAGGCUUCUGAAAGCUUUUGAGAUUGUAACAUUGAAAUAAAGGAAAAUUUAUGGGGCUCAUAAAGAGCUGAAAUAUUCACAAAUACCAAGCAAAACGAGUUAACUAGAUGGACUGAACUCAGGAAGCUGAAGCAAAUCUUUUUGACUUUUGCUUGGAAUAUUGCUGAUCCUUGUUUUGUUUUUCACAGUCAAGGAAACUUAUUUUGAACUAUUUACAGUCAUUAAUAAGGAAAGUAUACACUCCUGUGAUCAAAAUUUGUAGCAUGUUUGUUUCUCUCUGCCUGGUUCCUCUAGAAUUUGGAAACUACCUGUGAGUAUUCUUAUGGCAAUAUAGUUGUUUGCAUCAGUGCAAUAAGAAUCCAUUUUUCUUUUGCAACAGAAAACAAUUGGAAAAACUGGUUAUUUUACCAAGGCUUUGACUGGAAGGGCAUACUUCCCUUUACGGAGUCAAUCUUGACUUGCAGAGCCAAUAAAAGCCCCAUGCGGAAGCUGUCCUCAUACUCAGUCCCUGUAUAGGGUUCCUGACCUGUGAUCAGUAAAGAGUGUCACUUUCUAACAGGUCCAGGAGCUCCAAGUUUAUCUUGGGACCGUAAGAGGAGAGGAUGACCCAACUCACAUGUAUUUGAGAAUAAACCCAUGGCUAGGAUGGCUUUAAAAGGUCUUAUCUGAGAUCCCUUGAGGAACAGAGUUCCAUCAAAGCCAAUCUAAAAGGCCUGUGUAGAAAUAAUUAUUAUGCAAAUAAUCAGGCCAAGUAUAAGGCUAAAGUCUAUUUUGCAAAACACUCGGUCUUAUCAUGGUUUUUUUUUCUUAACAAAAGUGAGGACUGGAGAGAAAUUAUGUUUCAAAAGUUAUACAUUUGUCAUUAAAUUCUAAACUCACUAGUUGUUUUUAAGUUUUUGCCUACAUUUUUAGACUAACCCUGCUUAUUCCUGUGAACCAACCAGCAAUCCCCAGCUGCAGCUCAGAAAGAACAAGAGGGGUGUUAUCUGGUAAUGUAGAAAUCUGGAUCAAUAUUCUAGUUCUGAGCAAUUAUCCUGCAAAUCCUGCCAGGUGAUGGGAAUAAAUAGAAUGUCCAUCACUAGCAAGUUUCCUUUUUGGGAGAGUAAGACCAAGAGCCCUAACCAAAGCCAAGCACCACGCACCGAAACCCUAGCAGGCAUAACCAUAGCCACCAGUUAUCUGGGUGUGUCACAAGACAUCCUUUUCUCUCCCUUGUUGGAAGAGGACUCACUUCCACAGCUUUACCUUAGCAUUCAGCUUAUCAUAAGGAGUCCAUGCAAUCCCAAGCUUUGGGUCAAACUGGAUCUGAGGGAUCCGGAGGCAGACAAUAAUGGAAGUUAAAAGGCACAGCACAAGUGAGUGUAGCUGAUUCCUGCCCAUUAAGCCAACCCAGGCUUCUUGUUUCAUGGAUAAAGGCCACGUUAAUAUCCAUGGCAUGAAAGAGGUCUAGGGAACUCCAAGGCUACUUACAGUAGGGGUGAUAGAGGUAUAGGUGAAAGCAGAUAAUUCCUAUUCUCUAGGCCCCCCAGCUUCAUGGGUGCAAGCCGCUUUGGUACUCAUGGUGGCACUUGCCAAGUUCUCCAGAACUUGGGGAUGCAAGGACAGCAGAUGGAAAAAGGACGCUCUUCCAUCACUCCCUGAAGUACCCCGGGUAUCUGUUAGGAAGUGAAGGGAACCAUGGAUGCCUGCUCACCUUUCUAGAUGGGUAGCCAUUCAUCUUCACUCUGUACCCCUUUCAAAUGCAUCCUGAAUCCCUGGGACUCCUUUAAAAAAUGCCUUCUCUUUUCCUUUCCCCUUCUCUGUCUUUUCUUCACAGAUAGGUAAUUGUGUCCCUGUACUAUGGGACACUCAUCUCAGAUGCAUCCUCCAAACUGGAAAGAGUUAAUUUCCCAAACCUUGAACUGGUUGGCUUGAGAUUAGGCUCAGGGGAAGGGAACACAGAAGCCCAGUGUGCCGGCAAAAGGGUGAAGUUUUUUUUUACCGGUCAAGCUUUUGGCCUCCUUCUCCCUUUGCAAACUGGUAAAAGGCCUCGGGAUUUUUGAGCUCUCCUUACCCCUCCCCUUGUUUCAUUCUGAUACAUGUUUUCUAAUAACCUGGUUCGUCUGUUCUUGCCUUCAGGCCAUCAAACUCCAACCAGUCACCCAACCAGAGCCUCUGAGGAUGGCCCCUUCUGCGGGGAACCCUUACAUGGGCCUCUGACUGAUGCUUCCCCAAAACAGUGCCCCCUGUCAUCAGGAAGCAGUUAACACUGGUCUUCAUUCUUACGCUUAUCCUUAUUCUAACAGCAGUUAUAUGUACUUCUUUAGACGGGGGAAUAAGACAGCCAGGUGGGAGGGGGUCUCUGGAAAACUCCAUCUGGCCUGUGCACUAGGGUGGAACCUCAGGAAGUUGAUGACAUUUGUAGCUGGGAGCAGCCUGGCCCCUCCUCUUCCUGUGUGGAACCUGAAAUUCCACCGGCUUGGCAGGAAGCGCUCUAGCAGGGACUCCGGCUUUGCAGAGCAUCCCUGUUUCCCCGUUUUUCCCUUUUCACCCAAUAAAACCCUGCUUCACUCACCCUUCAAACCAUCUGCAAGCCUAAAUUUUUGUGGCUGUGGGACGGACAAAGAUGCCUUUAGCUGACUGAGGAAAAGUCCUGCAACACAGGUAUCACUGCACAUUUAUAAUAUUGUUUCUCUGUUUUAAACCUUGUAUAAAUAGGAAAAUAUUGUAUAUAAUCUCAAGCAGAUUGUUUUCUUUUGAAAAGUAUUCAUAUAUGUUAAAGAUGUAGUUCUAGUUCAUUCAUUUUCUCUGUUUUGACUCUUUUAUACAUAUACUACAGCUCAUUUAUCCAUUUUCCUACUGUUGCAACAUAGAUUGCUUAUAAUUCUUCUAAUUACUAACAAUGCUGGUAUGAAAUUGUUGUGUAUAUCUCUGGUAGAUAUGUGUUAUUUCUUUUUUGCAAUGCUAGAUUAUAAUUAUUUGUCUAAGGUGGAGAUUACCAGGGUAGACUCGCUCUGGCCGUAUGUAAUGAUGUCUGUGGCUACAUAACCUGCCAACACUUAGUCUUAUCACACAUUUUAUUUUAAAAUCAAUAUGUAAAAAAUACUAAUUUACUUGGUAGUAAUUUAAAUUUUUCUGAUUAUUACUGAGGUUGAAUAUGUUUUCAUAUGUUUACUGAAUAUUCCUGUUAAUUUUCUCAUGAAUUUCAGUUAAUGUUUCUGUUGAUUUUAUUAAUUUGUAGUGGUUUUGAAACAUAUUCUAGAAACCAAUAUUUUGUCUGUUGUAUGUGUUACAAAUAUAUUUAUUUUGUAUAGCUUCUUCAUAUUUAGUACUUUUACAAUUUUAACAGUAAAAUUAGUUUCAUGUUUUAUAGCUAUAAU
ensembl:lncRNA LINC01139 long intergenic non-protein coding RNA 1139